rnacentral:snoRNA from 1 species
AUCCUUUAGUAGUUUAUAAGCAUGAUGAUUGGGUAUUCACGUGCAUGUGUGAGAUAUGCCACCCUCAAACCUUGUUACAAUGUUGGCACAUUGCCUAUCUGACA